CUUGUAAUUGCUUCAGUGGCUGUUGUGUUUCUGGCGUCCACCGUAUCAACAGCUCCUGUUGAAGAUAAGGAGCCUGAGGAAAAUGACUUUGAGGCUGAAGAGGGUGAAGAAGAACUGUCUGAGGAGGAAGAGGAUGAUGAUGACUCCAAAGGUCAGCAUAUGAAGGGAGCCGGAUCGCAGCAGGCCACUGCAGCACCCAG